AAAUGUAAGAGCAAGAUAUAAACUUCAAUUCAAUCUAAUGCAACAAAGAAUAUAGGCUUCAAUGAUUCUUAGAUUGUUUACAUAGAUGAUACAUAAAACAUAGUUUACAUACUCAUAAUUUUUGAGUUACAACCAGAAAAUGAAAAGCCGAGCCUUAGUGGAUAGGCAAUGGGCAGGGCAUGUUGCAUCUUAGGAUGUCCCUCGGGAGGAGAUGCUCCAUCUCAUCAGAUCCCCAAGAAUCCAGCUCUCUUCCAGAAAUGGAAAAGCCUGAUUUACUCUGAGAAAAUUCAACAUAUGACCGAUGAGCAGAUAAGCAAGUGUGCUGUGUGCUAUCGGCAUUUUGCUGACAAUGACUAUCUAGUAACCUUCCGAGUAAGAAAAUUGAAACGUGGAGUUGCACCUUCCUUAAAUUUGCCAAACAGACCAGAUUCUAGUGUACCUGUUAUAAUUAAAGUAGAAACAUCGCCUGCGAGUAGAGAAACAUUUACUGCAAAAGAAAAGGUAACAGAAAUUCCAAGAAUAAUAGAAGAAUUAGAAACAACUCAAAUUACAUUAUUCGAAGAUAUUUCGGAAGAAAUUAAAUCCUGCUCAUUCGACCAGUCACAAAUUUUAUUAGAUAAGAAUAUUGAGCAAAUUAAUUCAACGGCAGAAACAUUUAAAUUAAAUCAUAAAGAAAGGACGUCGAGAAAGAAACGAAAAUUAACUACAAAACAAUUGCAUCUACUUCAAUGUAAACAACAAGCCAAACAAUAUGAAAAAACACCUUCGAUUCAAAAGCUGCUAUCUUUUCUCACGCCUGCUGAAAUAGCAACUAUUAAAACUAGAAUACGAAAAGCAAGAUAUGCCCCGAGAAUAUAUGUAAGAAUAUAUCACAACAUUGCACAAAGGAAGGCUUUUAGUCACUUAAAGCUCGUAGAAGAUUAGUAAUUUAUUGCAAGUCUUAAAAUCAAGAAUGCAAAAUCAGGAUGUGAAAUUCAUCUGCUUUAGAAUAUCAUGAGAAGCAAAUCUUAGCAAGUAUGAAUUUAUCGCAAUUAUAUUAACAACAAAGAAUUAAUUUCGCCAUAAUAAUGAGGAGAAUAAUAUUUGAAAAUUAAUCCAGGACACGAAAGACCUAUCAUGUGUAAUAAAGGUGCGAAAAAUUAAGGUGUGUACUAAGGAUUAUAUACUGCAAUAUGUAUAUUUUUCUACAUGCAUAAGUAAAACUAUAAUUAACGAGUUCGGCAACUACAUACAGAUGGAAAAGAUUCAAACGGGCAUGUUGGGUGCAAAGUUUCAACAUUAUGUCGAUACAACGGUAGUUUUACUGUAUUUUUAAAAACGAAUACAUGAAAUAUACAUUUAUAAUUAUAUGUAUGUAUAAUUGGUAGAAGGAUUGUAUUAUUCUCUGAAUAUAGACUUCUGAAUUCUAUCUUAUCGCUAACGGUGUCGCAAAGAGUAUCGUAGAACGUAUUCUUUCUGAACACAUAAUCUUGACGGGGAUUAUUCGGUUGAGCACUUUACUCGCCGGUAACGAAUACUUUUAUUAUGCGAGAGAAUCUCUAUACUGUUAUCAAUAGAGAUUCGUCAUUUAGGAAACGCGUCGAUAAAUAUUGUUCUGUGCGUAACCGAUUUCGGGGAGAGAAGUGAGAGUGGGAAACAGGAAUAAAUUCGAUCGAAUUAGUACAAAUAA